AUCGCUUCUCGGCUCUUUGAGCUAAGAUCAAAAGUGUAGUAUCUGUUCUUAUCAGCUUAAUAUCUGAUACAAUCCCCAUAGGGGAUUCAGAAUAUUAAACUGCUUUUUGAAACCAGGCAGAUUUGUGGAGCUUGCUCCGAUUCUGCCACGGGUCGACCCGGCAUUGCAGUAAAGCUGGGACCGGCCUAAUAAAU
rfam:Camponotus floridanus CamFlo_1.0_1.contig5842, whole genome shotgun sequence.